CCGACGCUCUCUCUUCAUACUACACCAUUAAUCUCUCUCUCCCAAUUUGGAACCCUAACGGGCGAUUCAUUUUCUCUUCGACAGCGAAUUGGAAGCAAUGUUUACGACGGCGAAGUCGAAUCACAGUUGACAAAGAUAUUCAGAGAUACAGUGGUGAUAUGAUGUUUUUUUCAGAAUCGCGAGUUUAGUUUUGUUGAUUCCCUAGCAAUCGAGUUUUAAUCUAAAAUCGGCGAUUAUUAGCGAAUUUUGGCUGUGAAAAGAAGCGAUUGUGGCUUGCGGUUGUCGGCGCGGUUUCUGGGACUCCCCAUCGAGUAACAUACAUCAUCGAUUGGAAAUGCGACCUAAGAAACAAGAAGUCGAAGUCCUUCCUGCUGCUUUGUGGCAUAUUCUAUACAACAAUGCUGUAUAGAAACGAUAACAUGGACAUUGACUCCGUUAUGAGUAUUGCAUCAAGAGGAGGGGAAAAAGAAGGGAUCGAUAGACGAUGAGAAGAUGGUCGUAGACCACCACAAACCGUGACUAACUAAUGAACAUUUUUUUGCUGCAAAUAUUAAGUUUAGUUUCAGUGGUGUUUUUUGACGUAGAUGAUGUUUUGUUUUGGUUAUUCCUUGUACUAAAAAAAUAUGACGAUUUUAUUUUGGUGUAGACAAUGUUGGU